rnacentral:rRNA from 1 species
UAAGCAUAUCAAUAAGCGGAGGAAAAGAAACUAACAAGGAUUCCCCUAGUAACUGCGAGUGAAGCGGGAAAAGCUCAAAUUUAAAAUCUGGCGGCUUUGGUCGUCCGAGUUGUAUUCUAGAGAAGUGUUUUCCGCGUUGGACCGUGUACAAGUCUCUUGGAACAGAGCGUCAUAGAGGGUGAGAAUCCCGUCUUUGACACGGACUACCAAUGCUUUGUGAUGCGCUCUCAAAGAGUCGAGUUGUUUGGGAAUGCAGCUCAAAAUGGGUGGUAAAUUCCAUCUAAAGCUAAAUAUUGGCGAGAGACCGAUAGCGAACAAGUACCGUGAGGGAAAGAUGAAAAGCACUUUGGAAAGAGAGUUAAACAGUACGUGAAAUUGCUGAAAGGGAAACGCUUGAAGUCAGUCGCGUUGUCUAGAACUCAGCCAGGUUUACUUGGUGCAUUUUCUAGUUAACGGGCCAGCAUCAGUUUUGACUGCAGGAAAAAGGCUAGAGAAAUGUGGCAUCUUCGGAUGUGUUAUAGUCUCUGGUUGCAUACUGUGGUUGGGAUUGAGGCUCUCAGCACGCUUUUGUUGUGCUUAGGAUGCUGGCGUAAUGGCUUUAAACGACCCG